rnacentral:tRNA from 1 species
ACUUAAAUAGCUUAUAAUAAGAGUUUAAUAUUGAAGAUAUUAAGGAAAUAAAUUUUAUUUUUAAGUA